CUCAGUCAAAUUUCAGUGUCCAACAAAUAAUGAAUAUUUUUUAGGAUAAGCAGGUACCAUGCAAUAUUCAGGACAUACUUAUACUAGAAAACUGUCAUAUAUCUGAAAUUAAAAUGUAACUGGGCAU
rnacentral:miRNA from 1 species